GCUGCAUGCGGCUUCUGGCAUCUGCGGUUGCCCGGCAACAGAGUGACGUCACCGGACAUGACUCAACCACCAGAGCCGACCGGAUGUCUUGCUCACGGCCUGCGGACAGAAGCCAGCAUGAUGGGGCUCUUACAAACACCUUUAUAAGGUUCAGAUAAACAAAAUGAUUGAAAGUCUAAAGACGUGCCACAUGAUUUCCUGUACAGAAAGUUGGCAGCGCCACCACAUGAGGCUACAACAAAGGCAGCAGCAGCAUCUAAGAGGGUAAGAGGAGGAGGUGGCGUAGGAGAAUCCACAAGAAGGCCCCAGGGAAAAUAGCUCUCCCCUAGCUAAAUGUGGCCAACCUCAGUGCCCUGAGAAGCAGGCGACAAAGGACCCGGCAGAAUGCCCCAGUGGCAGCAUCCCUCCGCCAGCCAAGAGGGACCUGCUCUGGAAAGAGGCUGCUGGUAAAUUCAUCUUUACCUUACUGCAAACUUCAAGAAAAUGUUUAAUUGUGACCAAAAUUGCUGGAAGAGGAACUGAAUGACAGAAUGACAAUUCUGGCAAAAGAAGAUGGAAGCCAUUAUAGGUGUAGAAGGGAGCCUGAAGCCUCAUGAAGAGGUUAUUACGGUGGAACUCAGCCCACAUCAACAGUGAAACUUAAUCAUCCUGACUGGCUGAGACAUAGAUCCUGAUAAAUUAAACCAGGUCUUGAUUUACACAUUCCAUUUGUCCGUUACUCUCAGUUUGAUAUGCUGAGAAGUUUAAUUUAAUGUUAAAAUACUUGCAGAGAGCCCUUCAAAACCUGGAAGUGAACUACACUCUCUGAUCUGAAGUGAUGUUUUCGGAAAAUCCAUGCAUCUUGAAGACCUCUUUAAUGAAGAUAUUGGGUAACUUUGGAGCUGUGGUGAGGGUAAUCCCCUUAAAGGUGCAAAAUGAGGGUCUGUUCACCACUACAUAGAUGGUACUGAACCCUUGAAAGGAGGGUAGUUCCACAAUGAUGUCCAUGAAAAUAUGUGUCCAUGGACAAUCAGGUAUUGGAAGUGGAUGCAAAGACCCUAUACAGUAGGAAGUUGUUGGAUUUUAUGCUGAGCACAAGUAGAACAAAGCUACCACAAAAUCAGGAAGCACUGACAGACAACAGAAGUUCCUGGAAACCAGAUUCAAUGUUUUCUUCACCCCUGCGUGCCCGGUAAAAUGUGAAAAUGUUUCACCCAACAAAGGUUAGGUGGAACAAAUUAAUUUCUAUUGAGUUUUCUUACUUUAUUAGUAGCAGAAAGGAAGCAAGCUGGAGUCAGAAAUGGUUUAUCCUCACAAGGAACUUUCUACUUGCUAGUACAGAAUGCGUGAGAAUGCAGCAGCCUUGAUAUUUUUGUUUCAUGUAUGAUAUAUGAUGAAAAUAUUAAAAUAGUCAAAGAACAACGACCAUCAGGCCACUCCUGUAAAGCAAAUUUAAUCACUAACAAUUCCUUGUCCCCAAUGGUAUAAUUUGUCGCAGAAUAUGAAAACUGGUGGUAGAUGAGACCACAAGAGCACCACUUCCCAGCUGCAUCUUUCUGUAACAGCCCCAAUUUCAACUGUAGAGGCAUCCACAUCUAAAAAAAAAGGCUGAUAAGGAUUUGGUUGUCUAAGAAUGGGUGCAGAUGUGAAAAGUUGCUUUCGUUAAGAGAACGUGUUCUCAGCUUCAGGAGGCCAGUCCUUGGUAUUCUGUGACUUCCUGGAAAGAACUGUGAUGGGAACAACUAUAAUUCCUGAAGAAUUGUCUGUAGAAGUUACAGAAUUCCAAGAAUAGCUGAAUAGAUUUUAACCCUGUAGGUCCUACAGCGUAGGUGAAGGCCAUUUGGUGAUGGCAGAAAGCUCCUCAGAAUCCAUCUAAAGAUGUAUGCCAGGAAUACAACCUCCUCCUGCUUGAAGAUACACUUCUCUAACUUGCAGUAUAGCUGGUUUUCCUCGAAUCAGCUCAAGACUUCCCUUACAUGCUUUCAAUGAGAGGUCAAAUCCUUGGAAAAGAGCAAAAUGUAAUCUAAAGAGAGCAGUUGCUCUAUCAUUCCUGCUGUUUUUCUGUGACCCCUCCCCCUUUCUAGCACCUGAUAUAUAAUUAUCUCCAGGAAUAAUAGAGCAACUACCACUGUUUGUCUGCAUGUGUGAGAAAGGCAUUGAAUGGGUAUUUGGAAGGCAUGCGCUUUUUCUUGUAGUGCUAAUGAGAAAUCCUGGGGGUGGCUCCUGGGUAAGUUAGCUGUCUGUCUGGAUGUGUUUUAGUAUGAGCCUUUAUCAUGAGGCCUUACUGUAGACAAUUCACAUGGCCCAAUGUGGGCACUGCUAUCAUGUAGUGUUAGGACUGCUGAAAUCAGAGAAGCCUUGGUGUGGCUCAGCAGCUAAACAUGUCUUUGCAAACAUAUGUGACCAACUCUCUGAAAUUCUAUUAGCAGACAGGUUCAAGUAUGGUUACAGGUCAUUUAUUAGU